AGCCCCAUGGUGGAGUGGUUAACACACCUGAUUUACUUGCCACCAAUUAUCAGUCCAGCAGGAGGCCUCGUUCGAUCCGGGGUCGGAAUU